AUUGAACGCUGGCGGCAGGCUUAACACAUGCAAGUCGAACGAGUGGCGGACGGGUGAGUAAUGUUUGGGGAUCUGGCUUAUGGAGGGGGAUAACUACUGGAAACUGUAGCUAAUACCGCAUACCAUCGGAUGAGCCCAUGUGGGAUUAGCUAGUUGGUGGGGUAAAGGCUCACCAAGGCGACGAUCUCUAGCUGGUCUGAGAGGAUGACCAGCCACACUGGGACUGAGACACGGCCCAGACUCCUACGGGAGGCAGCAGUGGGGAAUAUUGCGCAAUGGGGGCAAUCCUGAUGCAGCCAUGCCGCGUGUAUGAAGAAGGCCUUCGGGUUGUAAAGUACUUUCGGUAGGGAGGCGUUACCUGCAGAAGAAGCACCGGCUAACUCCGUGCCAGCAGCCGCGGUAAUUC
rnacentral:rRNA from 1 species